GUGGGGGAAGCAGGAAGUGACUGCGGGAGUGGAGCCGGUGGAGCGAGCAGCAGCGGGGGCUGAUGGAAGUGGAGUGGGGGCUGGAGAGGGCACCCUAGUGAGUCGGCUUUUCUCUCCUUCAGCGCCUGGGGUUGGGUCCCAGGCCCGGGGUCUGGGGCUGUCAGGACGAGCGUGUGGGUCUUAAGAGCAGCACCCUGGAGCUUGGAAAGGGGGCUGCCCCUGAGAAGAGAAGGGGUUGGAGGCGAAGCAGGAGGCUUUGGCAGGUGGCAGCGGAAGGGGGAUGCCCUUUCAUGCUCUCCCCUACAGGGCGGCCGGAGGCAGCGACCUGCGGCCUUUUACAGUCCUCAGCCCAGAUCCUCUUCAUUCAUUGCUUCCUGGUGGGUGUGUGAGGAUCCCGGAUCUCCGGGAGCAGAGCUGUAUCCAGGAUGCUCCAAGGCCACAGCGCUGUGUUCCAGGCCUUGCUGGGGACCUUCUUCACCUGGGGGAUGACAGCAGCUGGGGCAGCUCUCGUGUUCAUAUUCUCUAGUGGACAGGUGAGUUGCCUUGCUUUGGUUCUGCUAGUGGGCAGGCUCGUUGAUGUCCCUCCCUGCACACGCAGGGGGUGGGUGGUGACAUUUUCCUCUAUCUUCUUGUUUUCUGUGUAACUCCCUUCCCAGCCAAGAGAACAGGUUCAGACACCACGCAGUAUCUUCUCCUUUCCUGCCUCUAACAACCUGGAUUGAAGGG
rnacentral:lncRNA from 1 species